ensembl:lncRNA
UUGUAGUGUGGUAUACUGUAGAUAGUGGUGUUGUAGUGUUGUAUACUGUAGAUAGUGGUGUUGUAGUGUUGUAUACUGUAGAUAGUGGUGGUGUAUACUGUAGAUAGUGGUGUUAUAGUGUGGUAUACUGUAGAUAGUGGUGUUGUAGUGUUGUAUACUGUAGAUAGUGGUGUUGUAGUGUGGUAUACUGUAGAUAGUGGUGUUGUAGUGUUGUAUACUGUAGAUAGUGGUGUUGUAUACUGUAGAUAGUGGUGUUGUAGUGUUGUAUACUGUAGAUAGUGGUGUUGUAUACUGUAGAUAGUGGUGUUGUAGUGUUGUAUACUGUAGAUAGUGGUGUUGUAUACUGUAGAUAGUGGUGUUGUAGUG